GGAGCCUUCCCUGCCCCUGCCCGGCUGACUAUUCCAGCUCCCCAGGCUUUCUCCCCUGCCAGCCUUGUUGUAUUCCAGUCAGAACCAGACAGUUUGGCAUUAAUUGCUCUCUAAUUGUUUCAAGUGUGCUAUUUUUAUCUCCGGAGGACUUUGCACUCUCCUUGCAAACCGCCUGGUCUUUCAGUUUCACAUUGCCACUGUGCCCCCAGCGCCCGGUAAAAGCUUGCUGAUUGAUUUGCUAUGAGGGGUAAUUAUUUCCGAGGCUGCCCUGGGAUAUGGAUCUCUCCUGAAAUUGUUGCUGCUUCUGCCCCCUGCAAUGCCCUCCCACUCUCAGCACCUCCCACUGGCUGUUGCUUCCAUGGGUGUCUCUAGAACCUCCUCUGUUUCUCCUUCUCUCUGUCUACUCCCCCUUCUGUCUAUGCCUCUGGGGUUCUCUCUUUCCACCAGUGCUCCUUUUGCAUAAGGGCUCUCUUGGCCAGAGCUGUUAUUCUUAUCAGCUGCCUCACCAUCUAUUUUUAUCUCUCCACGCAAAGUAUUAAAUACUUCUGGGACCUGCUAGGGUGAAUGAAGCUUCCACUUUGAAUUUCUGCAUUUUCAGUUUUAUUAUCUCAAGACACAGUUAAAAGAAAGGGGUCUUGGGGGAAAGAUGGAGCUGAGGUGAGGUCAAGUGGGAAGAGAGGCUUCUUUCUAGAAGGGCAAGCAGUGAUUGCUGAGAGGAGGGCUAGGGAGGGGCAAUCAUCGAGGCUCCCAGCUCCUUGUUAUUUAGUCUCAGAAAAAAAGACAGUAAGGCGGUAGUGACAGCAUGGAGUUUUGCUUCCGAAGUUCAUCUUAAGGUUCAGAGAAGCUCAGAAAUUUUUCUGAGAAUUGCCAUCAUGGCUCUCCAGACUGUUUGAAACUUGCUUACCCUGACAGUAGACUGAAUCAUAAGAUCUGUUACAGCUCUUGGGGCCUUAGAGAGGGUUUUGUCCCACCUCUUUCCAAGUGUGAGCUCUUGGGCAGAAUCUGAGCCAUUCAGAUUUACGAGGCCACUACUUCCAUUGAGGAGAGGCGCAGUGGUGAUAACUAUUUGGCAGAUCAAUCCAGCAAUAUUUAUUUGCCGCCUAGAAUGCUGGUACCAGAGCAUCAGGGUUAAGAGGCUGGGCUUGGCUUCACGUUGACCUGGGUUUAAAUCACAGAUGCAACAUUUUCUGCAGGAGUUCAGGCAGGUUACUCAAACUCUCUGAACCUCAGGUUUUUCAUAGAUAAGUGCGCAUAAUAAUACUUCAUGGGAUUAUUAUGAGGAUUAUUGAGUCAGGGAAAGCACUUAGUGGAAUGCCUGGUGCAUAGCAAGUGCUCAUUUGAGAGCUCAUAAUAUUAUUAUCCCAAGGGCAACUAUUACCUUCUUCCUAACCAGACUCCAUCCCAGUGCUCACCCAAAUCCUUUGGGGAACCCUGGGCAAAGUCAUCUACAUGGUGAGACACUCAGGGGCCACAUGAACAAGCCCCAAGUGACAAACAUGAGGCACCUGGGGCGCUUUCCGUUGGCUGUGAUUGUUAAACCGCUUCUCUUAAGAGACCAAAACCAGGACGUGGCCCCUCUACAAGCCGGACUUAAAACUGAGGACCCGGCUCCAAAGAGCACCAAUGAGCUGCCUGAGUUGCCUGCCAAUCUCGACCAGUCAGGGCGAGGCCCUUCUGACCAAUCAGGACGAAGCUCUACCAGGCAGGACAAGAUGCUUCAAACCAAUCAGGAUGAAGCACUUUUUUUUUUUUCCUUUUCCUUAUUGGCACUUUGGCCUGCGUGGGAGCCUGAGCUCUUGCUUCCUCUGUGAGGAGCUUGGAUUUCUGACAGCCAGUGCAGCUGGUCCGUGUUCUUUCCUCUGCGCCAAAGCUCACGGGUAGUGAUGGAAAGAUAACACUGAGCAGGGGAUGGAAUCUGUACUUUGCUUUGAUGGCUGCUAUUGCUUGCGGCAGAAACCUGUGUGGAGGGACAGACCGGAGCCCUCCUUGGAGAGAAACCAGCAGCGAUGGAAAACUGAGGUGGUGAUAGAGCUAGCGAUCCCUCCCCCACACCAGCUGCUCCCAAUGCUUCCUUCUGUUCUUUGCUCCACAGAGCAGCCUUCCAGGUCAGAGCCACCCCCUCCUGCUUGGGAAAACCUGCGUUUCUCUAGGUUGAGCCCGGAGCUGACCCAGUUCCAUCAGGUCUCCCCCGGGGGGAGGCCUGGGUUCGAUGAUGGCGCCAUCUGCUGGCCCUUUCUCACGCUGCAGCCGCUGUUGUGUUCUUUCUCGGAAUCCGGUGGUUCUCCAGGUUUGGUCCCUGGAAUCACCUGUAUCACCUGGCACUUGUUAGAGAUGCAAAUUCUGAGAUUCUGCUCACUGAAUCAAAAAUUAGAUUGAGUCCCAGCUGCUCGGGUUUUAACGAGCCCCUCGAGUGAUCCUGCGGCACUUGGGAAUCACUGAUUUAGGAGAUCCAACACCGUUUGUUCAUUCCUCAAGUCAGCAAUUCUUAUUCCCCCUUCUAGGCAAACAUGACCAAUGCCCGACCCCCUCCCCCAACACACACACGUGCUGUCGCCUCACAUCUCUGUGCAGUAGGGAAGGGAAGCACUAUGAUCACCCCACUUUCCAGACAAGGAGGAAGUGAUAACAGCAGACUGACCCAGGACCACACAGCUUGUAAAUAGCAACGUUGGGUCCCAUGCUCAGGUCUUUGCGUGUCCAAACCUGGGCUGUUCACCAAACCGCACAUUACCAACUUCUCCAUGAGUUGGGGGGGGGGGGAGGUUGUGGAGGAGGUGGGAGGGGAGAAACCUUCCCAAAUCGUAUACAACUGAAACUUGCCGCGCUGCCUGAACUUGCCAGCAACUUUCACACGGGGUUACGUAUUCCUUUCAGAAGGCCUGCAGAGAGGCUAAUUAUUGCCCUAUCACCUGCCACCUAGCCGGUCCCUCCCCAUCUCUCCCGUUGACCCGCAUAGGACAUUACUGGGUGGAUUGUGGCAGGGAAAGCAAGGGAAGACUUAAAUGCACUGCCUGGGUGCAGAGCUUCAGGGCCCACGGAAAGGCAGGAGUUUAACUAGACUGCUUAAUUGGGGAUGGAGAGGGAGAAACAAUGGGACCAAACAGAAGCAGAAAAAUUCUGGAAGGAAGAAGAGGUAAGACCAGAAGGCAAACUCGGACUCCUCUUUUACCAGUUAGCAGCCUCUGAAGCAGCCCUUCAAGCCCACGACAGGCUGUCCAUCCACAGCAAACGUUCGUGGAGCACCUGUGACGAGCAGAGCAUCACACGAUCAGUCCCCUGCCUACAAGGGACACGCUUGUUGUGCAGCGGAGGAGACACGGGGCUAAA